CUUCGGGGUUAGUGGCGCACGGGUGCGUAACGCGUGGGAACCUGCCUUUAGGUUCGGAAUAACUCAGAGAAAUUUGAGCUAAUACCGGAUAAUGUCUUCGGACCAAAGAUUUAUCGCCUUUAGAUGGGCCCGCGUUAGAUUAGAUAGUUGGUGGGGUAAUGGCCUACCAAGUCGACGAUCUAUAGCUGGUCUGAGAGGAUGAUCAGCCACACUGGGACUGAGACACGGCCCAGACUCCUACGGGAGGCAGCGGUGAGGAAUAUUGCGCAAUGGGGGAAACCCUGACGCAGCGACGCCACGUGAGUGAUGAAGGCCCUCGGGUCGUAAAGCUCUGUCGGAGAGGGAAGAAAAACUAGUGGGAAUAAUACCCCAUUGGCUUGACGGUACCUUUCCAGAAAGCACCGGCUAACUCCGUGCCAGCAGCCGCGGUAAUACGGGGGGGACAAGCGUUGUUCGGAUUCACUGGGCGUAAAGGGCGCGUAGGCGGGCCUUCAAGUCGGAUGUGAAAACUAUCGGCUCAACUGAUAGCCUGCAUUCGAUACUGUUGGUCUUGAGUA
rnacentral:rRNA from 1 species